UACGUAGGUGGCAAGCGUUGUCCGGAUUUACUGGGUGUAAAGGGCGUGUAGCCGGGCUGACAAGUCAGAUGUGAAAUCCGGGGGCUCAACCCCCGAACUGCAUUUGAAACUGUUGGUCUUGAGUAUCGGAGAGGCAGGCGGAAUUCCUAGUGUAGCGGUGAAAUGCGUAGAUAUUAGGAGGAACACCUGUGGCGAAGGCGGCCUGCUGGACGACAACUGACGGUGAGGCGCGAAAGCGUGGGGAGCAAACAGG
rnacentral:rRNA from 1 species